rnacentral:misc_RNA from 1 species
AACGGUCUAUACCUGCGGUACCUGCGGAGGGAUCAUUAACGAGUGUAACUUACCCUUUUUUUUAAAAGAGGGUAGUACCUCCUGUCCUUUGUAGGCCCCUUUUUAUUGGGGGGCUUUUUAAGACUUUCUGCUUCGGCGGGGUUAUUCCCGCCGGAACACCCUCAAAAAACUCUUCAAAAACUAAUUCAGUCCGAGAAUUUUUGAAAAUAAAAAAAACUUUCAACAAUGGAUCUCUAGAUC